CUGUGGCAAAUCAAAUUUCAAAGUCAAGAUUAAUAUUAAAAGAAACUAUAAAAACCUUGAUCCCUUACUCAAUAUAAAAUUAUAAAUUCAUCAAAUAACACCAAGUCAAACUAUACAUCAUGCUGCAAUAAGUUUAUCGCAAAAUGCAAAGCGUUGUUGUUUACCAACUAUACGUCACAGAUGGCAAAUUUCCAUUGCCCUCCUUUUUCUUCCUUUGUCAAAAUGAACAAUCCCAGACUUCAGAAAAAUACCAUUAAUACUACUGCUUCAUUGUAUAAAUCAAAACAUUGCAUAAGCUCAAUAUCACAAUGACGCACCACGAACUCAAGAAACAAUAAUUUCUUCUGAUUUCUUCUUUUUAGCUUUUCAACAUCACAAAUGGGUCUUA
rnacentral:misc_RNA from 1 species